AGACGUCUACAUUAGAUACCCGCGUAGUCCCAGCCGUAAACUAUGCGCGUUAGGUGUAUCGGUGACCACGUGUCACCGAGGUGCCGAAGGGAAACCGUGAAACGUGCCGCCUGGGAAGUACGGUCGCAAGGCUGAAACUUAAAGGAAUUGGCGGGGAGCACCACAACGGGUGGAGCCUGCGGUUUAAUUGGACUCAACGCCGGGAAGCUCACCGGAUAAGACAGCGGAAUGAUUGCCGGGCUGAAGACUCUGCAUGACUAGCUG
rnacentral:rRNA from 1 species